rnacentral:rRNA from 1 species
AUUGAACGCUGGCGGCAUGCCUUACACAUGCAAGUCGAACGAGGGUAGCAAUACCUUAGUGGCGAACGGGUGAGUAAUAUAUCGGAACGUACCCUAGAGUGGGGGACAACCAGUCGAAAGACUGGCUAAUACCGCAUACGAUCUCUGGGUGAAAGUGGGGGACCGCAAGGCCUCACGCUCCUGGAGCGGCCGAUAUCUGAUUAGCUAGUUGGUAGGGUAAAAGCCUAACAAGGCAUCGAUCAGUAGCUGGUCUGAGAGGACGAUCAGCCACACUGGGACUGAGACACGGCCCAGACUCCUACGGGAGGCAGCAGUGGGGAAUUUUGGACAAUGGGGGAAACCCUGAUCCAGCAAUGCCGCGUGAGUGAAGAAGGCCUUCGGGUUGUAACGCUCUUUUGUCAGGGAAGAAAAGGCUAUGGCUAAUAUCCAUGGCUGAUGACGGUACCUGAAGAAUAAGCACCGGCUAACUACGUGCCAGCCGCCGCGGUAA